AAACUGGGAUUAGAUACCCCACUAUGCUUGGCCUUAAAUCUAAAUACUUCUCCCCACCAAAGUAUUCGCCUGAGAACUACGAGCACAAACGCUUAAAACUCUAAGGACUUGGCGGUGCUCCAAACCCACCUAGAGGAGCCUGUUCUAUAAUCGAUAACCCACGAUAUACCCAACCCCUUCUUGCCUUAAGCAGCCUACAUACCGCCGUCCCCAGCUCACCUACCCUGAUAGACUUAACAGUGAGCACAAUAGCACCCCGCUAAUAAGACAGGUCAAGGUAUAGCCUAUGAACGGGAAGAAAUGGGCUACAUUUUCUAAAAUAGAAAACCCAACGAAAAGGGACCUGAAACACCCCCUAGAAGGAGGAUUUAGUAGUAAAGGGGGACAAGAAUGCCCCCUUAAACCCGGCCCUGGAGCACGUACAUACCGCCCGUCACCCUC
rnacentral:rRNA from 1 species